rnacentral:rRNA from 1 species
CCGUAGGUGAACCUGCGGAGGGGAUCAUUAC